rnacentral:rRNA from 1 species
UUGAACGCUGGCGGCAGGCCUAACACAUGCAAGUCGAGCGGUAACACAGAGAGCUUGCUCUCGGGUGACGAGCGGCGGACGGGUGAGUAAUGUCUGGGAAACUGCCUGAUGGAGGGGGAUAACUACUGGAAACGGUAGCUAAUACCGCAUAACGUCGCAAGACCAAAGUGGGGGACCUUCGGGCCUCAUGCCAUCAGAUGUGCCCAGAUGGGAUUAGCUAGUAGGUGGGGUAACGGCUCACCUAGGCGACGAUCCCUAGCUGGUCUGAGAGGAUGACCAGCCACACUGGAACUGAGACACGGUCCAGACUCCUACGGGAGGCAGCAGUGGGGAAUAUUGCACAAUGGGCGCAAGCCUGAUGCAGCCAUGCCGCGUGUGUGAAGAAGGCCUUCGGGUUGUAAAGCACUUUCAGCGGGGAGGAAGGCGGUGAGGUUAAUAACCUCAUCGAUUGACGUUACCCGCAGAAGAAGCACCGGCUAACUCCGUGCCAGCAGCCGCGGUAAUACGGAGGGUGCAAGCGUUAAUCGGAAUUACUGGGCGUAAAGCGCACGCAGGCGGUCUGUCAAGUCGGAUGUGAAAUCCCCGGGCUCAACCUGGGAACUGCAUUCGAAACUGGCAGGCUAGAGUCUUGUAGAGGGGGGUAGAAUUCCAGGUGUAGCGGUGAAAUGCGUAGAGAUCUGGAGGAAUACCGGUGGCGAAGGCGGCCCCCUGGACAAAGACUGACGCUCAGGUGCGAAAGCGUGGGGAGCAAACAGGAUUAGAUACCCUGGUAGUCCACGCCGUAAACGAUGUCGAUUUGGAGGUUGUGCCCUUGAGGCGUGGCUUCCGGAGCUAACGCGUUAAAUCGACCGCCUGGGGAGUACGGCCGCAAGGUUAAAACUCAAAUGAAUUGACGGGGGCCCGCACAAGCGGUGGAGCAUGUGGUUUAAUUCGAUGCAACGCGAAGAACCUUACCUGGUCUUGACAUCCACAGAACUUUCCAGAGAUGGAUUGGUGCCUUCGGGAACUGUGAGACAGGUGCUGCAUGGCUGUCGUCAGCUCGUGUUGUGAAAUGUUGGGUUAAGUCCCGCAACGAGCGCAACCCUUAUCCUUUGUUGCCAGCGGUUCGGCCGGGAACUCAAAGGAGACUGCCAGUGAUAAACUGGAGGAAGGUGGGGAUGACGUCAAGUCAUCAUGGCCCUUACGACCAGGGCUACACACGUGCUACAAUGGCAUAUACAAAGAGAAGCGACCUCGCGAGAGCAAGCGGACCUCAUAAAGUAUGUCGUAGUCCGGAUUGGAGUCUGCAACUCGACUCCAUGAAGUCGGAAUCGCUAGUAAUCGUGGAUCAGAAUGCCACGGUGAAUACGUUCCCGGGCCUUGUACACACCGCCCGUCACACCAUGGGAGUGGGUUGCAAAAGAAGUAGGUAGCUUAACCUUCGGGAGGGCGCUUACCACUUUGUGAUUCAUGACUGGGGUG